GACGAACGCUGGCGGCGUGCCUAAUACAUGCAAGUAGAACGCUGAAGCGAGGAGCUUGCUCUUCUUGGAUGAGUUGCGAACGGGUGAGUAACGCGUAGGUAACCUGCCUUGUAGCGGGGGAUAACUAUUGGAAACGAUAGCUAAUACCGCAUAACAAUGGAUGACACAUGUCAUUUAUUUGAAAGGGGCAAUUGCUCCACUACAAGAUGGACCUGCGUUGUAUUAGCUAGUAGGUGAGGUAAUGGCGCACCUAGGCGACGAUACAUAGCCGACCUGAGAGGAUGGGCGGCCGCACUGGGACUGAGACACGGCCCAGACUCCUACGGGAGGCAGCAGUAGGGAAUCUUCGGCAAUGAGGGCAACCCUGAGCGAGCAACGCCGCGUGAGUAAGGAAGGUUUUCGGAUCGUAAAGCUCUGUUGUAAGUCAAGAACGGGUGUGAGAGUGGAAAGUUCACACUGUGACGGUAGCUUACCAGAAAGGGACGGCUAACUACGUG
rnacentral:rRNA from 1 species